rnacentral:lncRNA from 1 species
CUCCUGCCUGUAACCCCACCAUGAAGGUGGGUGGAUCACUUGAGGUCAGGAGUUUGAGACCAGCCUGACCAACAGAGUGAAACUACAUGUCUACUAAAUAUGCAAAAUUAGUUGUACAUGGUGGUGCAUACCUGUAAUAACAGCUACUUGGGAGGCUGAGGCAGGAGAAUCACUUAAACCAGGCAAGGCAGAUGAUGUAGUGAGCCAAGAUCGUGCCAUUAUUCUCAUCCUGGGCUACAAGAGCAAAACUGCAUCUCAAAAAAAAAAAAAUCCAGCUGGAAUUUGUAUUGGGAGAUCAGAGAAUUUAUAGAUCUAACUUGGGGAGGUUUGAUUGCCUUAACAUGUUAAUAUCUACAUUUAUUGUAACUCUUUAUCUUUUACUAGAUUUUGGAAAUUUUCUUUUUGAAGAUCUUGAGGGUUCUUUUGUUAAUUUCUACAUCUGUUACAGUUUUUAUUUUUCUGAAUGAUACUUUUGUUUAUUCCUGAUGUAGAGGAAAUAAUACUGGUUUUCUUAUGUGCAGCUUUUUUGUUGAACUCUGAUAUGAAUCAUAAUACUUCUGUUGAUUUCAUUUGGUUUCUUAUAUAGAUGAUUAGUGUCAUCUGCAAAUACUGGUUUUUAUGGGCAAAUAUGGUUUUAAUGUCAUCUGCAAAUGUGGCUUUAUGUCCUCCUGCUAGUUCUUAGGCCUGUGUCUUCUCUGUGAUGUCGUGAUCUAAUCUCUUUUCUGGCCCAACAGCCUAGCCCUCUACUCCAUAGCAGAAGCAACAGCUCAUAGGAGUCGGCUUCCCGGACAACUAGGUCUCAUCCUAAUGGGGGUUAUACUUGAAACUCCUCCGUUAAGUGUGGUGGUGGUUUGGCAUCAGUUUGGGUUGAGCCAGAUGACCGAAGCUGACUGGAACAUCACGUGGUCCAUCAGUACUGGACAGCCCGGCCCUUCCAGUUUCCUCAUAGCUUACAUUUGCAUUCCAGUUUAGCUGCUAUCUGGUAAGAAGCUAAAGUUUUCAUUUAAUGUGAUAAUAGAAAAAAAAUUUGAUGUUUAAACAUUUGGCUUUGAUUUGUGACUUCAGUUCCUCUCUGAAAUUUAAAUUUGUUCUGGUUUUGACAAUUACUUUUUUAAACAGAGUCUUACUCCAGUUUCCCAGGCUGUAAUGCAGUGGUGAUAUCUCAACUCUCUGCGGUCUUUACCUCACCCAACUAAUUUUUUUUUUAAUUUUUUAUUGGAUUUUAGGUUUUGGGGUACAUGAGCAGAGCAUGCAAGACAGUUGCGUAGAUACACACAUGGCAGUGUGCUUUGCUUUUCUUCUCCCCUUCACCCACAUUUGGCAUUUCUCCCCAGGCUAUCCCUCCCCACCUCCCCCUCCCACUGGCCCUCCCCUUU